UUUCGAAUACAAUAGCCUGCUAGCCUACAUUCCCUUUCCUGUAUACUCUUCAGUCGUCGCCCAUAGAAACGCCCUCGAAGACCCUCCCGAGGGAGGGAAAGCGCGUGGUGGGGGAAAGGUGCCUUUGAAACAUCCAUGUGUCAACAUCAAGUUUGCUGUUGUAAAUGUUUUUCUGAAACUCAUGAAAGAGCCAAUCUGAGGUGGAGCACUCAUGAAUGGCAUUAGUCUUCAUAUAAGAAGAGACCAGAGAGCUAGCUAGAUCUCAUCCCACCAAGUGAGGCUACAACAAGGAGUUAGUAGUCUGCAACCUGGAAGAGGACUCUCACUAGAAUCUGACUGUGCUGGCACCCUGAUCCUGGACUUCCA